AGGGUUUGUAUGUCGUGUGGACAAUUUCUGCCUGUAUUAAUGUCAUUAGUUUGUCGUGGAUUGCUGAAAGGUGUAAAAAUCAGGCGGUUGUAAAAAUCAAAAACAUAUUUUCGGAUGUCAUGGUUAAACACAGUUGCGACGUAAAAAUUAAGAAAGAGAUAGUUGCUUUUAAUAUCCAGUUGCUACAAACCGAUUUUAAAAUAACAGCGGGAGUUAACGAGCUUGGAGCUUCUUUCGUUUAUACGUAUUUAGGAACUAUAAUUACGUACAUAUUCAUUUUGUUGCAGUUUGCUGGAUUUUUCAUUAAAUUAUAAGUUUAUUACAGUGAGUGCGUGUC